UAUUUUUCAUAGCUUAAAAAUCAUUGACAUAGAAUAAUUCCAACUAAAGUACGUAUUAAAUCCCUGGAAAAUAAAUUUUGUCUUAACAAGGUAAGUUGUGAAAAGAUGUUUUGUCACAGGAAAAAGGAAAUCCUCCAUUUAAAACCCUCCAUGCUGAAAUAAAGGAGGAGUCCCAUCUUUCAGUCAUUCCACUUCAGGCUUUUGAUAUAACUAAUCUCUUUUCUUCUUCUUUCCUUUUUUGGCAAGCUUUCGGAAACAAAACAGGCAAAAUUUUGUGAUGAUAAAUAUCACAGUUGCCACGCAGGCCAGCAGGAAUGCUAUCACAUCCAAAGAGUGGUACUGGAUCCAGGUGAGGUUGUGAGCUGCGACUCGAAGGUGCUUGGCUCCUUUGUGGCGCAUGACAAACUCAAUCCAGAAGACUGCUCGAUCCAGGGGCUUCAUUGGUUGGUCAUGAUGAAUUCUUGAUAAUUUCAUGACAUUCUCUUUAUAGCUGAAGGAUAAAUAUAAAGAUAUCAACAUUAAAA
rnacentral:lncRNA from 1 species